CAGGCCUAACACAUGCAAGUCGAACGAUGCUUUCGGGCAUAGUGGCGCACGGGUGCGUAACGCGUGGGAAUCUGCCCCUUGGUUCGGAAUAACAGCUAGAAAUGGCUGCUAAUACCGGAUGACGACGUAAGUCCAAAGAUUUAUCGCCGAGGGAUGAGCCCGCGUAGGAUUAGCUAGUUGGUGUGGUAAAGGCGCACCAAGGCGACGAUCCUUAGCUGGUCUGAGAGGAUGAUCAGCCACACUGGGACUGAGACACGGCCCAGACUCCUACGGGAGGCAGCAGUAGGGAAUAUUGGGCAAUGGGCGAGAGCCUGACCCAGCCAUGCCGCGUGCAGGAAGAAGGCUUUCUGAGUCGUAAAUGCUUUGACAGGGCAGCAU
rnacentral:rRNA from 1 species